UACGGAAUGUGCAAACGUUAUUCGGAAUCACUGGGCUUAAAGAGUCCGUAGGCGGCAUGUUAGGUGAGGUGUGAAAUCCCCCGGCUCAACCGAGGAAUUGCGCUUCAAACCGGCGUGCUUGAGGAAGAUAGAGGUGGGCGGAACUGAUGGUGGAGCGGUGAAAUGCGUUGAUAUCAUCAGGAACACCGGGAGGCGAAGGCGGCCCACUGGGUCUUUUCUGACGCUGAGGAGCGAAAGCGUGGGGAGCGAACAGG
rnacentral:rRNA from 1 species